CCCGCAUGAUGGUGAACACCCGAUUGAGCAGCUGGAGAGACGGCAGAGCCGAAGCGUCAGGCACAGGAGCGAGCACGCCCAAAGGAGCCCGGUGGCCCAAGGAAGAGAUGGUCCCCAGCCGAAGGGAAAGAAUCGGGGGCCCACCGGACGCCCCGCCCAUCCCUCGCUGGACAACGAGGAAGGACUCAUCUGGGGCCGGCUCUGACGGAGUUAUGGGCCUCUUUCCCAGCCAGGCUGACGUGGGAAUGCGGAACACGCCCCUCCUACCUCAUCAUACGUGUAAUCUCUUUCUGAGCCAGCCCAGGCAGGACCCGUCUGAUUGCUAAAUGAGAUGCCAUCAUCCUUUUUGUUGUCUUCAUCCUCCAGAGCUGCAGGUGAGAAACAGCGUUUAGGAGGGGGACCGACCCCACGUGAGGGCACAGAGCAGUUCCCUGGAGACGACCGCCCUCCUCCCCUGUAAGCUACGUGGGGCCUUUGAGCCGGGGGCAGGAGCCCCCGGUCUCCAGAACCAAGGUUGCCCAUCCCGGCGCCAGAUCCCAACGUGUGAAAAGGUCACCAGCAGACCAUGAAAUCGGGAUUUUAGAAUAGGCCCGGACCCUGGGUCCCGAGGCGGGGUGCCGGGAGUGGGCAGCAGAUCCGUGGGGUGCAACGACACCGGCCUCUCUUCCUGCCUCCGAUGCCACGUUGGGAUGGAAGAGAAUUGAGGGGGCAGGGGAACGCCCGUAGAGGCCCAGGGCAGAGCACGACAGGUGGGCAGAGGCCCCAAGUGCUCAGUCUUCCGGCGGGAUUUCCCGGACCUUCUCCCAAGCACGGCCCAGUGCGGAUGGUGUAGAAGGACCGAGUGGGCCUGGCUUCAUUCACCAAACCUCACCGGAGGAGGCUUCGGACCACCAGAUAACAGAGGAAGGCAGGCAGAGAGGGGAAGCUCAGGGAUCAGUUGCUUUUUACCAUGGAUUCUGGUGUUUCUGGGCUGCUAUUUCUCUCCGCUGCAUGUCCAACUCCCACUCCCCCACCUCGACCCCCUGGGCACUUCUGAGGCAUUGGGGGGGAACGUUGGCAGUGGGGCAGGUUCUGAAAUGGGUCGAAAGGCCCCGGUUACCUUCAUCCUUCUCGAGAAUCUCAUCCUCGUCGGGGAAUUUCACAUUCUUCUUCUUCUUCUUCUUGUUGCCCAGCAUGAUAUCAAGAUCGUCUUCGGGUUCCGCUGGCUCUGGCACAUCACUCUCGAUUUUCAGCUCCUAAGAAACCAGAAACAGACGCGUAUCACCUCGGUGAACUUCCACGGAGCACAAGGGCAAGACCAGUCCCCCUCCCGGCCGAAGUGAUUCCGAGCCAGACCUGCUUGCUUUCCCGCCGACGGUGCCCAGAGCCCAGUUGUCCCGACACGCAGCCCGUCCACCGGAAAGCUGCCCGAGUCUGGCUGUGCACGGGUCACCAGGGGCACAGCCUGAUAGGGCUCAUCCGUUCCCCCUUCCCCCGGCUCCACGGAGACUUGGAGAGGACCAAGGGAAGAGCUUCAACAGGGACCUUUGUUCUUCCAGUGUCCCUCUAAGAAGCUUUACGUCUUUUACUCAAGCUCCAAAUCUGGCCCAAGUUGAGAAGCCAGAUAGCCCGGCGGAUAGAUCCUGGGCGGGGACUCUGCGGUCUGACCCUUCUCUGUGACCCUGGGUAAGUCGUCACAUCCCCGGUCUGGGCCUCAGGUCCCUGCUGUGAGCCCGUGGGGCAGGGACUGUGUCCCCUCCGCUUCUCCUGGCUCUAAACAGCACUGGGUGGUCAGGACUGGGACCGAGAGAACGCGGCUAAGCAAGAGCCAGUGGGGAGACCUGCACUGACAGCACGUGGCGAACUGCAGAGGGUGAGAGCCGAUGCUUCUGGAGUCUAGAGAAUAGGCCUGAAACCCAGUAGGCCACAUCUCUCCUCCCCCGUGUAACACCCCAAAGCCCACGGAGCAGGAAAAUCUCUCGCAGGGUACACCCGGGCACAUUUCAAUGCCUGACUUUUCAAACACCUGGGAUGCUUGGCCCGCCGGGGCCGGGGUAACCAAUCCCCUCGGCGACAGUGGCCCAAAUGGCGGGUGGCCCUAACCAGGGGACCCCCCACCUCCCCCGCAGCACACAUACACACAUCACAACCGGCACAGAACGAGCCAGUCUCGAGGGAACCAUCACCACCAGCACGAGACGAACCUUUAUGCCUUCUUCCGCCUCAUCGAUAUCAAAGAUCUUUUUUGUUUUUUUCUUCUUUUUCUUUUGAUUGAAGAAGUUCAAGUCAUCCAAAUCAUCAGAUGCAUCUGAAAAGGCAGGACCAGUGAUUAGCAGCCUCGUCCCUCCGCCGGCCAAAGUCCCCGGUCGAGGCCCGCGUGCGGGGCUGGGGCCGCAGGCCGGCCCCGAAAGCACCUACUGACUUCCUAUCAAGUGCCCUUGCGAACGUCUUAGCCGGGAGGAGCCUGGACAUUCUGGACAGCAAAUCCGGAGUCCAAAGGCCUCCUCGGAGGCAGAAAUUCCAAGCUCCUCCCAGAAAAACGUGUGGAGGGCUGUUGAGAGAAGCCCCGUGGGCAGAAGUCAACAGCCAGAGGAACGAGGAGCAAGGGAGUAGCCGGGGAGGUGGACGAGCCACAGAACUGGAAGGAUCGUGGCUACUAACCCGAUCGUACUCCCCCUCGGGGCUUCGCACACAUCGGGCGCCCAGGAGCAACUACCGAUAGGCUCGGAUGAAGAGCCGAAGCUCCGUGUCUGGAACAACGGGAGAGGGCCGCCGGCCCCUUUGCGGAUCAGCCUCGUGGCCACACGGUACAGUCACGCGGGGGGAGCAAGACCUCGACCCCCGGGACCGGGCCAGGGAGAUUCCCAGCCCCAGGACGCAGGUGCAAGAAACCAGGCGGGCCCCGAGCUUGGCUGUCUGGUCCCCAAAUCGGGGCCGGGGUCACCUUUCUUCCGACUGUCCUCUUCAUCGGCCUCCAGGUCUCUGUCCUCCGCCGGCUCCGGCUCCACUUCCUUCGUCUCGGACGGCUGAGUCUCCUCCGUCUGGACGUCGCCCCCUUCUUCGUCCAGCAUAAAGGGCUUCUUCUUCUUCUUCUUCUUCUUGCUCAUCGUCGGGUCGAAAAUCAUCUGUUGGAACAGACGGCUUAUCGGAAGCUCCGGUUUCCGGGAAGGGCGUCGCAGACCUCUCCACGCACACCCCCCCCGACUAAACCCAGUAGAUUCCUCUCCCGGGCCCGGCCUGAAAUACGCAACUGCUCGCUGGGACACCUCGGCCGGUAAAAGAAAGCACUGAGAGAUGCAGCCCGGGGACCCGGGCCCAUCUUCUUUCACGGUGGAUGGAGCCCUCGGACCCUCGGGGACCACCCCCCCCUCACCUGGGCCCGCCCCGGCGCUUGGCACAUGAUGGAGCGCCGAACGCUCUCGGAUUUGAGUAGCAGGGACUCACCGGCGUCGGGGGACUCCGUCGGAGAAGACCACGGGCCGGCCCCAGGGACUCGGCUCCCACAGCGACCCGUUGCCUUCCGUGCCAGGAGGGCGGCGGGGUCGUCUUUACAAGAGCCGGUGGAGGCCCGCGGCCCCGGCAUCCGUCGAUCGCGUGUGCCGCCUCGCGGAGCCCCGGGACUCCGACGUGAGCAGCAGGCGGCCCGACGGGGCCGGACGUUGGCCUCGGGCGCGGGGCGGGGGGGGUUCCAUCGGGGGUCCAGAGCGCCUUCCGCACUCGCCCGAGGCGGCGUUCUGCCCCACGGAAGCCCCCGGGUAUGUUGGGGGGACG